ensembl:snRNA U2 U2 spliceosomal RNA
AAAACUUUUCCAAAAGAAAAAAAAAUCUGUUCUUAUCAGUUUAAUAUCUGAUACGUCCCCUAUCUGGGGACCAUAUAUUAAAUAGAUUUUUGGAAUAGGGAGAUGGAAUAGGGGCUUGCUCCGUCCACUCCAUGCAUCGACCUGGUAUUGCAGUACCUCCAGGAACGGUGCACCCCCU